UUCAUAUAAAAUACUGUACAGUACAUAUAGAUAUGUGUUAUACAGUAUAUAUUUUAAUUGCAAAGUGUAGCGUCAAAUCAAAAAAUUCAAGCUUUACUGGUGGUCUGAAGCCUUUCUUUAUUGUGGAGGUCACCUCAAACCUGCCAUAAGAGCUAGGCAAAAACGCAAUACAAUAAAUGAAACAUGACAACCAUUAAGCUAGCUUAGCAGACAAAAAAUCUUUUAAACUUAUAAUUUAAAUAUUAAAGUUCACCUUGUUGCCACUUUGACCGGAGCUAAACAAAAGCAAAUACCGUCGCCGUAAUUGAUUCAAAGUACAAAACUAUUUCCUGUGGCAACACAAUAAACCAACAUCCUCAGAUGCUACAGCAAAGCCCUUUUGCAACAUGUUCGCAAACCAUUUUUUAUAUGGAUUAAGUCAAUAAAAAAAACAAUAAUAAUAAUGCAUGUACGGUAUAUGGGCAGAAAGCUCUAAAGGCUCGCGAGCAUAUACACUGUUGAAUGAAAUACAGAAAAUGUAAACAUCUGAGUAGCACACCAUGCUACGAAUGACUUCUAGUUAUCCACCUUCACUGAAGAAAAAUCACCAUUAGCUGAGAAGACAUCUGGUCCGAAAUGAAAAUCAUAAGAGAAUAGAGCAAGGCCGGUCACAGAAAAGAAGCUAAGGCUCAGAGAUGCAUCAAUUGAUGAGCUUCACCGAUUAGAACAGUGAUGAUGAGGGGAGUGACCAGCAUUGGGAAAAUAGAAAUGUCGCAGAAAAUGUGCAAAACAAAUCCCAACAAUGUAAGUCUAGAUAAAUUUUACAGUAAGUGAGAACUAUUCUGGUAAAUAAUUCACGCAUCCUCUGUUUCUAUGCUCAUGUGUUCAUUUGUAUUUUCUUACCUGUCUUCCUUUGGUGGUCUCUGUAGCUGAGCUCAUUUCAGACUUGGACACAACUCUGCUUCUUGGUCUUCUUUUUUAAAACAGUCUGGCCAUAUUUUGUCUGAGCAUUCUAACAAUCAAUCAAUGUCCUAGUCCUCUUCUUAACAGGUUUUUCAUGGACUUAAAAAAUAUAAUUUUUACACAUUUCCUUCCUGACAACUUUUUCUUUAAAACACUACAAAGGUAACAUGGAACAUGACACAACAUCAACAGAGGUUUUCUAGUGUUCUCGUCCAGGGUGUUGAAACUCUAAACUAAACACGGAGCUAACCAGACGUCAAAUAAAGAGGAUUCACUUCAUCAAAGUGCCGUUUAUUUUCUUCUCUUCACUUAAAGUGUGUGAGUUUAUAUGGUCAUUUGGUAAAAACAAAAAAUUCACAUGACGGUCGCAUGUGACUAAUUUCUCCCGUAUCCCGUCGUAAACAGGAAAUUAUUAACGCGAUCUCCCGCAAACCGGAAGUCACUUAACACAUAUCGCGAGAUUAUAUAAACUUCUCAAAUUAGCGAUUUGUCCUAAGAGAAACAAUUUUAUAUUAUUAUACACAUACUUAUAAACAUUUGAGAUUAACACUUUGCAUCAAACAAACUUAAAUACAAUUUUAGGAAAAAAUAUGCAUAAAUUAAAGAUUGCCUUAAAGGCAAAACAGGUUUGAUCCCACUUUUGAAAGCAAAAAUGUACUGUAGCUCUUGUGUUUUAAAGGUGCCUGCACAUGCAAAAUUCACUUUUUGGGUAUUCUGGUACGUUUAUUUGACUUCCUGGGUCACAUUAAGACACUCCUGGUGUGUUAGAAGUACGCCCCCUACUUAUUUUACAUUUUUGAGAGUUUAUCCAAUUCGGUUCAAGAAGCAUCGUUUCAAAUUUGGUCGACUGGAUACGUCUGCAUUCGCUUGACCACUCACAGAACCAGCCUAGCCCCCAGACAAACCUGGACCCUUAAAUGUACCUGCAACAUUUUGUUUCAGUCUCUCACCUUAGUCACAGACAAAAUGCACCUUUCAGUUGGUUGCCACCCGCCAUUUAAAAGACAAAAAGAAGAAGUCACUCAGGUUGAAGAAGCGCCCUGUUCCUCAAGACGUUAUCCACUUGCUGCUUCCCCAAACGUAAGUACAUGCUUGAUACUUAUUUGAUGUAUGUACUCCAGAAGUUUCUCUGUUUAUAAUGUAGCUUCCCUCCUGUGUAAGGAAUGCUAAUGGCUAGAACAGUUGAAUCUAACAGCGACAGAGAGAGACAGUGUUGCAAGGUGCUGGCACACAAUUUGGAUGAGUCCAAGCCUCUCCAGUAUUCGUCCGGUUCGAAUCGUGUGAUAUAUGGUACUGAGGUCAUUCACUCAGCUCACAUUGUAGCUGCUAGCGCGAUGGUAGUGCAGCGUUAGCGGCUAGCGCUAGUAAGUUGUGAGAGUCAGCUGUGUUUCUAAUUACUGCCGAGCCUGUCGUGUGUAUGUUGUAGCCAGAGUAGACCCAUGAAUUUGGGUUAUUGCAAGUUCUAUCUAAGUCUAACAUGUAUGUUGUUGCUUAUCUAGUCAGCUACUUUAGCUGUAAACGUGACGUGUUUUUUUAUACAGGCUGACGCAUGCCAGCUACCGAAACGCGAGGAGGUUGCUUCUCAAACUGACACAUCACUGAAGGCUGUGGACACGCGGCUACUUUGUAGAAGAGUUGUUGCUCACCUCAGGAACCAAGAUUACGUGCAAAAUGUGAUGGAGACCAUCUUCAAUAAAGUCCUGCUGGACUCAGGUUGUUCUAUGGAGGACCUCUAUGGGGACCUUGUGAACAUCCCUGUUCCACCGGCCCUCUGAGCAGAAUUUGAGCAACCUGACAGAAAGGAGAGUGGUGUCAAGGAACAGCUGCAUGCUCCAUCUGUACAGCAGCUGCACUGCUUCCGAUGUCUUCCAACACGUGAAGACAAAAAAAGAUCCUCACAUCUCCCCAACCAACUGCCCAUGACUGUACCUGUUCCACUCCAGAAACUAUGCUUUCAACAUAACUAUGAAUCCUACCCGUUCAUUUUGUGGUCUGCAAAUUGAACUGUGACGGUAACUUAUCCAGCAUUAUAGUGCUGGUGCAUUGGUUAAAAAUAAAGUUGGCUUUGACUAUU